rnacentral:lncRNA from 1 species
UUUAAGGAUUAUGUGAUUGGGUUUUAGUUUUGUCUGUUUUGUAUAAGUUGUUUGACUCUUCUGUGUAGUCUCUUUCCUAUCCCGAGGUUUUAUUUUUUCCAAAAAAGUUUUAACGAGGCCACCGUUAACAUGUGAGUUCUUACCAUGCAAGAGUUCUUACCAUUGUUUCUAUAAAAAAGAAAAAAAGAAAAAAAAGAAGUAGAGAUGAGCCUUCAAUGAAUUUUUUCAAUUCUCAUAAUACCAUCAUUAAUUUUUUUUAAAUGAUAUCGUCUACCACCACCACCACCUUCAUCACUACCACCACCACUACCACCACAUUCUCUACCUUCAUUACCAUCACCACCACCAUCAUCACCACCUUCACCACCACCGCCUCCACUAACAUCUCCAUUGCCAUCACCAUAACCACCACCUCCACCACCACUUUAAACUUCAUCUCUUUCACCAUCACCACAGCCACCUCAUGAUUAGCACUUAACACAUCAUGUCUAUUUAAGUCAUUAUUCAUGUUAUAACAGUUUUAUAUUAAAAUUUAUGCAAACGGCGGUUUUGACAAUGUUUUUUAUACUAACAUCACUUUCAAAAUAUUGUUUACCAAACAUGGAGAUGAUUUACUUUACAGCAGAUUAUUUUCAAAGCACAAUAGAAGCAAUUUUUUUCUUUUUUUUUAAUUGACAGCAAUAUUCCCAAACUGGUCCUAACUCUUACUUAUAUACAAUAUUUAUAUUAUAAAAUUCACCUAAUCACAAAUACUUACAAAAAUCAUAAAGACAUCCUAUAAUCAUACAAUUAUACAUAGAGUGCUACUAUUUCCACCCACCUGUCUUAUUUUUCCACCCACCUUAUCUUCAAAAUUUUAAAGAUAAAUUUACCCCUUUAUAAAAUGACUUUUAAGGACUUAUGGAAAAUGAUUAAAAAAAAAAUAAAACAAUUGCCUCAAACUUAAAAUUAAAAAAAGUAAAAAAAAUCCAAAGCACAAAGAUCAAACGUCAAAUUCAAAACACCCCUCAACCUCUCCCUCCUAUUUUGUCUCCAUCCUAAAACCCCAACCCCAAAAGUUUUGAGCCAAAACGAUAGAUUCUUCAUAAAAAACUCCAGUCGUCAUGUACUCUUCCCAUUUGUAGGAGGAGGCCAGCAAAUCCCAAUGAUCGACAUGGCAAAAGUCUUCUCC